AUUGAACGCUGGCGGCAUGCUUUACACAUGCAAGUCGAACGGUAACAGGCCGCAAGGUGCUGACGAGUGGCGAACGGGUGAGUAAUGCAUCGGAACGUGCCCAGUCGUGGGGGAUAACGCAGCGAAAGCUGUGCUAAUACCGCAUACGAUCUAUGGAUGAAAGCGGGGGACCGGAAGGCCUCGCGCGAUUGGAGCGGCCGAUGUCAGAUUAGGUAGUUGGUGGGGUAAAGGCUCACCAAGCCAACGAUCUGUAGCUGGUCUGAGAGGACGACCAGCCACACUGGGACUGAGACACGGCCCAGACUCCUACGGGAGGCAGCAGUGGGGAAUUUUGGACAAUGGGCGCAAGCCUGAUCCAGCAAUGCCGCGUGCAGGAAGAAGGCCUUCGGGUUGUAAACUGCUUUUGUACGGAACGAAAAGGCUUGGGUUAAUACCCUGGGCCGAUGACGGUACCGUAAGAAUAAGCACCGGCUAACUACGUGCCAGCAGCCGCGGUAACAC
rnacentral:rRNA from 1 species